AAGUGUGAAGGAUGGAGGAGUGGGGUGCACACCAGCUCUGGAAGCAGCAAGGCGGAUGCAGCCCCUGGCCAGUACUGGGGGUUUGGGGAAGAAAUGACAUGGCUAUGGCCUGGGAAGGGACACAGGGAGAUGGGUCGGGCAGCCCCUCCCCCAUCCUGAUACCAGUGUCUGAGUUUUCCAGGUAGAAAUCAACACCUGAGGAUCUGGUGGGCCAGGGACAGUGGUAGGUCCCUUCUUGUCAAACAAAUCUAUGGCUAACAGUAUUCAGGAGACACAUACUGAUGCCGAAGUAUGGGAAACUUGACAAUUUCUCAGUCUGGACCAGAAGUGGCCAUGCAGGCUGAAUCUGCCCAACAGGUCCAGACAUCUGGCAACUCUGGGAGCAGGAGCUGGGCUGCGUCACACUCUUACCAAUCCUAGGAAACCCCAGGGAACUCAGGAUGCCCCUGGAAUACACUCAGCCCUCAUGCUCCCACUUAUCUGAGGGGUGACCUUGAGCUCCCUGGGACAGGGAAGGGCUGGGCCCCCAGAAGAGGGCCAGUGGGUGGUCAAUUUCCAGGUUCCCUGGGUGUUCCAGGUCCUCUUGCUCCUUGUCACCAAGGCAGCAUCAUCUGUGUGAAUGUGACACACCAGGAUGGAUAUUUCAUCUCUCUCGUUCCCGCUGUCUCCCCGGCCCUGGCACACAGUACAGCAGGGGGCUCUCUUCCACUCAUAUAUGCAGCCAACCUCACCAACCUACAAGAUCUCUGUGGCCAUCCGGGCCCUGCCUGAGAAGAGGUGACCACGCUAGACCCUGCCAGCCCCAGGAGACCCUGAACCAUCCAGCCCCAGCUCUGCCACUUCCUCUUCAGGAGCCUUUGGCCACCUCACCCCUCUGUGGACCUUGGUUUCCUGGACAGGGCUGGGUGGGGCUGAAAGUUCGGGGGAUGCUGCCCCCCAUAGAAAGCAGAGGGGACCGCGUGAAAUGCCCAGGCCUGGACCCCAGGGACAUAGGCCCCUGCUAGGGUCGGGGCAGGAAGAAGGAGGGGGCCAUAAAGGAGAAGCCCCCGGAUACCUUCUGGGCCCAGUAUCCAUAUCCUGGGGCCCUCCUGCCCUGUACCUUGCACGCACCCCUGGCUCCUCCAUGGCUGCCCACCCCGACCACAUCAUCUCUCCCUGCAGCCGUGGCCCCCCCCCCAGCUUGGUGCCUGGUUGGGGUUGGGGGCAGCAGAAGGGGUCUGGCUGCUGCUCAGAACCACCACAGAGGAAGGAGGCCAUAGGUCCCCACGUCCAGGGUGCUAAAAGCUAGUGACACUUGGGCUCCGUCGCACACAGGCCUGCUAAUGACACCUGGGCCACAGGUCUUGAAUGGACACUUGGGAAAGGUGGGCCAGCCGCAUCCCCUGCUCUUAUGCAGGGCCACCCACUGAGGAGGUCCCUCCCAGGCCCAGCUGCUUCUUUGGGCUCUCUGAGGGGUGGUGGAGGGGAGGAGUCCCUGCUCUGCCCGAGUCUGCCUUCCCAGCCCUGGGCAGUGGGGAUCUACAAAGCUGUUUGCAUGAGUGGCAUUUCUCAGCAGCAAUCCCAGGUGGUCCCACAGACCACCCUAUCCCCAGGAGAACCAAGAGCCAGAGAAGGGGCCAGGAAGCUGCAGCAAAGAGGCUGCUGCUCAGGUCACCUGGCAGGGAUGCAGGGGAUUCCAGGCUGAGACCCAGGCUCCUCUCGCUUCUGGACAAGAGGCCCAGAAGCACAGUGCCCUGCCCAGGACCAGAGCCCUCCCCAGCUCUGCAGCCCACUCCCCCCUCUGAGGACCCAGAAGAAGAGGGGCAGGCACCGAGGUUCUGGAGCUCCAGUGCAGGCCAAGCCACCACCUCAUGUUGUCCUCCAGCUGCCUUCCUUGUAAUUAAGAGCAAACUUUGUAGCAAUGUCUCCUUUAGCUGUUGUCUUACCCCGCCUCCCAAAUGAUAAAUUGUUAAUGAGCACCUGUUACAAUGCUAAUGAAAGUGAGAUCCGUAUGUAAAUAAAGAAAAUUUAAUAACUUAACAAGGUGGAUUAAAAUGCCCAACCUCCUCAGCAGCUAAUCUGGGCCAAACACCGAAGGGUUGCCA
ensembl:lncRNA